rnacentral:lncRNA from 1 species
UUUAAAAGCCGUUUGACCAGUGGUAGGAUGGUCGCACCUCCUGAUUUUGCCAAGUUGGGGCUGUCCUGAGGGCUACAACUUCGAUGAAGUCCCAGGACCAACAAAUCACACCAGCCAAUCAAAAUCAUUUGCUGCAUCUGACAUCAUCAGUGUGAGUCUUCUUUUCAAAUUCAACUGAAACAGGGGGAGAGCUAAGCUUCCAGUCUUCAGUUCAUGUGAUGAUCAAGAAGAAGUCAGCCAAAUGACUGAGGAAAAGUUUAAUAAUGACUCCCUAGCCACACUCAAUGACAAUCAGUGGAUUGAUGAUGAGAUUUUGGAACUGGAAUUCAGGUUAGAUUAACAUGUAAGAAUUAACUGUUUGUUGAAAUAGAAAUUAAAGGACUUU